AGACGGAAAGACCCCGUGAACCUUUACUAUAGCUUGACACUGAACAUUGAGCCUUGAUGUGUAGGAUAGGUGGGAGGCUUUGAAGUGUGGACGCCAGUCUGCAUGGAGCCGACCUUGAAAUACCACCCUUUAAUGUUUGAUGUUCUAACGUGGACCCGUAAUCCGGGUUGCGGACAGUGUCUGGUGGGUAGUUUGACUGGGGCGGUCUCCUCCUAAAGAGUAACGGAGGAGCACGAAGGUUGGCUAAUCCUGGUCGGACAUCAGGAGGUUAGUGCAAUGGCAUAAGCCAGCUUGACUGCGAGCGUGACGGCGCGAGCAGGUGCGAAAGCAGGUCAUAGUGAUCCGGUGGUUCUGAAUGGAAGGGCCAUCGCUCAACGGAUAAAAGGUACUCCGGGGAUAACAGGCUGAUACCGCCCAAGAGUUCAUAUCGACGGCGGUGUUUGGCACCUCGAUGUCGGCUCAUCACAUCCUGGGGCUGAAGUAGGUCCCAAGGGUAUGGCUGUUCGCCAUUUAAAGUGGUACGCGAGCUGGGUUUAGAACGUCGUGAGACAGUUCGGUCCCUAUCUGCCGUGGGCGCUGGAGAACUGAGGGGGGCUGCUCCUAGUACGAGAGGACCGGAGUGGACGCAUCACUGGUGUUCGGGUUGUCAUGCCAAUGGCACUGCCCGGUAGCUAAAUGCGGAAGAGAUAAGUGCUGAAAGCAUCUAAGCACGAAACUUGCCCCGAGAUGAGUUCUCCCUGAGACUUAGAGUCUCCUGAAGGAACGUUGAAGACGACGACGUUGAUAGGCCGGGUGUGUAAGCGCAGCGAUGCGUUGAGCUAACCGGUACUAAUGAACCGUGAGG
rnacentral:rRNA from 1 species